GCCGUCUUAGCUCAUCUGGGAGAGCGUAAGACUGAAGAAGCCACCUUGAAUCCCACCAGUUGGCUUGGCCAUCUUAAGGCACCUGGUUCAAUCCCGGGAGACGGCA